rnacentral:rRNA from 1 species
AUUGAACGCUGGCGGCAGGCCUAACACAUGCAAGUCGAACGCGUGGCGGACGCGUGAGUAAUGUCUUGGAAACUGCCCGAUGGUGGGGGAUAACUACUGGACACGGUCGCUACUACCGCAUACCAUCGGAUGUGCCCAGAUUGGAUGAGCUAGUAGGUGGGGUAACGGGUCACCUAGGAGACGAUCCCUAGCUGGUCUGAGAGGAUGACCAGCCACACUGGAACUGUGGCGCGGUCCAGAAUCCUGCGGGAGGCAGCAGUGGGGAAUAUUGAACAAGGGGCGCAAGCCUGAGGCAGCCAUGCCGCGUGUAUGAAGAGGGCCUGCGGGUUGUAAAGUACUUUCAGCGAGGAGGCGUUACUCGCAGAAGAAGCACCGGCUAACUCCGUGCCAGCAGCCGCGGUAAUUC